rnacentral:lncRNA from 1 species
GUCCUGUUCAGGCUCCUUCUCGGCUGUGGGAGAGACUGUUUGGCCAAUCCUUCUUCCAUAUGCCCAGCCAUGCCCAUUCCAGCCUCCCUCGUGGUUAGGUGUGCCCACGUGACCAAGUUCUCCCAAGAAGAAGCUGAGCAGAAGUGAAGUGUGCCAGGCAUGACUAUAGAAGUUCUCACAAGAUUCCCUCCCUGCUCUUCCUUCCAGCUGACUGCAGUGCUGACGCCUGUAGGGACCCUUUGAGACGUGAGCUGAAGAUGGCAAAAGGGUGACAGCUUGGAUCUCCAAAUGACUGUGUGGAGCAGAGGCUUCCACUGCCCUGCAGCACAAGUUCUACAGUGUGCACGAGAGCAACCAUGUGUGAGCCAGAACACAGCUGGUCAAUUUAUUACUGCAGUCUGACGCACUACCUCUGGAUCAUUUGCCUCACGGGAAGUCAGCUGCAAUGUUGUGAGGAAAUCCUAUGCAGAGAGAGGCCCAUGAGGCAAGAGACCAAGGCUUACCUACAACCACAUAAGUGAGCUGCAGAUAGGACUGCAGCCCUGACCAACAGCUGGACUGCAGCUCCAUCACAUACCUUGAGCCAGAGGUAUGUCACCUAACCAAACC